GACGAACGCUGGCGGCGUGCCUAAUACAUGCAAGUUGAGCGCUGAAGGUUGGUACUUGUACCGACUGGAUGGGCAGCGCACGGGUGAGUAACGCGUGGGGAAUCUGCCUUUGAGCGGGGGACAACAUUUGGAAACGAAUGCUAAUACCGCAUAAAAACUUUAAACACAAGUUUUAAGUUUGAAAGAUGCAAUUGCAUCACUCAAAGAUGAUCCCGCGUUGUAUUAGCUAGUUGGUGAGGUAAAGGCUCACCAAGGCGAUGAUACAUAGCCGACCUGAGAGGGUGAUCGGCCACAUUGGGACUGAGACACGGCCCAUACUCCUACGGGAGGCAGCAGUAGGGAAUCUUCGGCAAUGGACGAAAGUCUGACCGAGCAACGCCGCGUGAGUGAAGAAGGUUUUCGGAUCGUAAAACUCUGUUGGUAGAGAAGAACGUUGGUGAGAGUGGAAAGCUCACCAAGUGACGGUAACUACCCAGAAAGGGACGGCUAACUACGUG
rnacentral:rRNA from 1 species